rnacentral:rRNA from 1 species
AGUGAACGCUGGCGGUAGGCCUAACACAUGCAAGUCGAACGGCAGCACAGUAAGGGCUUGCUCUUACGGGUGGCGAGUGGCGGACGGGUGAGGAAUACAUCGGAAUCUACUUUUUCGUGGGGGAUAACGUAGGGAAACUUACGCUAAUACCGCAUACGACCUACGGGUGAAAGCAGGGGAUCUUCGGACCUUGCGCGAUUUAUUGAGCAGGUGUCGGAUUAGCUAGUUGGCGGGGUAACGGCCCACCAAGGCGACGAUCCGUAGCUGGUCUGAGAGGAUGAACAGCCACAGGGGGAAUGAGACACGGGCCAGACGCAUACGGGAGGCAGCAGUGGGGAAUCUUCCGCAAUGGACGAAAGUCUGACGGAGCAACGCGGCGUGAGCGAUGACGGCCUUCGGGUUGUAAAGCUCUGUUAAUCGGGACGAAAGGCCUUCUUGCGAAUAGUGAGAAGGAUUGACGGUACCGGAAUAGAAAGCCACGGCUAACUACGUG